rnacentral:rRNA from 1 species
AGUGAACGCUGGCGGUAGGCCUAACACAUGCAAGUCGAACGGCAGCACAGGAGAGCUUGCUCUCUGGGUGGCGAGUGGCGGACGGGUGAGGAAUACAUCGGAAUCUACCUUUUCGUGGGGGAUGACGUAGGGAAACUUACGCUAAUACCGCAUACGACCUACGGGUGAAAGUGGGGGACGGCAAGGCACCACGCGAUUAGAUGAGCCGGUGUCCGGUUAGCUAGUUGGCGGGGUAAUGGCCCACCAAGGCGACGAUCGGUAGCUGGUCUGAGAGGAUGAUCAGCCACACUGGAACGGAGACACGGUCCAGACUCCUACGGGAGGCAGCAGUGGGGAAUAUUGGACAAUGGGCGCAAGCCUGAUCCAGCCAUACCGCGUGGGUGAAGAAGGCCUUCGGGUUGUAAAGCCCUUUUGUUGGGAAAGAAAUCCUGUCGAUUAAUACUCGGUGGGGAUGACGGUACCCAAAGAAUAAGCACCGGCUAACUUCGUGCCAGCAGCCGCCGUAACAC